AUUGAACGCUGGCGGCAGGCCUAACACAUGCAAGUCGAACGGUUGAAGGGAGCUUGUUGCUGGUUCCAUCGCCGGUCGCGUGCGUGUUGCCUAGGUAUCUGCCUCGUAGUGGGGGAUGACGUCAGGUACCGGGCGCUGUUACUGCAUCCGUCUUGCGGGAGAAAGUGAGGGAUGUUCGGACUUCGCGCUAUCAGAUGCGCCUAGGUCGGAUUAGCUAGAAGGUGGGGUAGAGGCCAACCUAGGCGACGAUCCGUAGCUGGUCUGAGAGGAUGAACAGUAACACUGGAACUGAGACACGGUCCAGACUCCUACGGGAGGCAGCAGUGGGGAAUAUUGCACAAUGGGCGCAAGCCUGAUGCAGCCAUGCCGCGUGUAUGAAGAAGGCCUUCGGGUUGUAAAGUACUUUAAGCGGGGAGGAAGGGAGUAAAGUUAAUACCUUUGCUCAUUGACGUUACCCGCAGAAGAAGCACCGGCUAACUCCGUG
rnacentral:rRNA from 1 species